UACGAAGGGGGCUAGCGUUGUUCGGAAUCACUGGGCGUAAAGCGCACGCAGGCGGAUUGAUAAGUCAGGGGUGAAAUCCCGGAGCUCAACUUCGGAAUUGCCUUUGAUACUGUCAAUCUCGAGUCCGGGAGAGGUGAGUGGAAUUCCUAGCGUAGAGGUGAAAUUCGUAGAUAUUAGGAAGAACACCAGUGGCGAAGGCGGCUCACUGGCCCGGUACUGACGCUCAUGUGCGAAAGCGUGGGGAGCAAACAGG
rnacentral:rRNA from 1 species